UGGAGCCCAGGGGAGGGAAAGCAGCAAGCAGCAGCAAGAGUCGACAGUGCUAAGAAAGGCAAGCUUGACCUUCCCAAGAUACCUUCUUCUUGGCCAGCAACAGAUCCUGGAAGCCUCUCUGCGCUCCCAGCCACGACCACCAAGCCAAGCCAGCCACCUGCC